rnacentral:lncRNA from 1 species
GUUUAUUUACGUGGCUGCAAACUUAUAAAAUGAAGUAGAAGGAAUAAUUUAAAACUAGAAAAUGCGAUUAACUUUCAUCUGUAUAAAAAAAAGUAGACGAAACUGCUUAACGACAUUUCUUUACUGCUCCGAACUUGUUUCUGCUCCAUUGGAUAUUAUUCUAACUCAUCUUCAUGCUCUUCAAUUACCGGAUAAUUAUUUUCCACUUAAUGUUUGAAUUAUUUGUUUACAUUUGUUGUUUUUCUUAUUUUUGCCCGUGAUUGAUCAUUUAGUGUAUACGGAAUAAAACGAUAUCAAUCUAGCGCAAGUUCUGAAACGUCAUUAGCAAUUUUCUUCAGGAUAAUAAUCCACUUAACCUCUUCUUUUCAUUUUUUAAAAAUUCGACGAUGUACGAUUAGCAUUUAAGAUUUUCCUUAUUGAUUAAUUGCAUAAUUAAUUACCGCAUAUAUUAACCCAACGAUUUAAUUAUACUUAUCAGUUUUUAACGUUUUGCGUACGAGUGUAAUUAACGUCAUAAAACAUCCCCCUUUUUUUAUUUAAAACGCGUUAAAAAUUCUUAUAUAUAUAUAUGUCAAAAGUGUGAGAAAGGAGAAAAACGUGAGCAAACGGGAAUUAUCGGUUAAUUAUAGGAGAAAAACAAUUUUCGGGCGAGUGCCUGAGAGCAUAAGAGGAAGACAAGAUAGAGAAGACAUUUGGGGCAAACUGCCAAAGGUGUGGCUAUCUUUCUGCAGUGCAGCUCUUCUCCCGCUCUUUUCUCUCCGCCAGGAGGCGCUAGCGAUGUGAGAGUAAGGUGUGAGUUGCAUGUGUCGCCACAGUAGAAAGUAGCAGACGAGCUGGCGUGUUACUCCUUUAACUAUGAACUACUCCAGCGGAGUCCCGGGAGGGGGCGGUGGAGGUAUAUCCGGAAGAGAUAGCAGAGGAUCAGGAAAAGGGGGCCAGAAGGGAGACAAAAAACGAACCUUUGGCGAUCAACUGGCCGUAAGUUAUUUUCGAACACUUGUCACAUGGUAUUGCGUCACUGGAAUCCCUUGGCUUGUUUAUACAUUUAUACUUUUGACCGACUUAUUUACUUUAAAGUUUCUCUCUUAAAAAUGUAUUCGAGUCAUUAAGUGAUACCUAAUAUUCUUUAUGUAACUAUUUUAAAAAUAUUUUUAACGUUUCUACUACUUUAAAAGUUUUUUCUUCUCUAUGUUUACUCUUUUUUUUAAUAAUACAAUAUUAUGUUUUAAAUAUAUAUAUGUGUAUACA